GUGGAUUAGAUACCCUGGUAGUCCACGCCGUAAACGAUGAGAACUUGACGUCGGUUUGCUCAGCAAGUCGGUGUCGCAGCUAACGCGAUAAGUUCUCCGCCUGGGGAGUACGGCCGCAAGGUUGAAACUCAAAGGAAUUGACGGGGGCCCGCACAAGCGGUGGAGUAUGUGGUUUAAUUCGAUGCAACGCGAAGAACCUUACCUGGGCUUGACAUGCUAGGAAUCCUGCAGAGAUGUGGGAGUGCCCGCAAGGGAACCUAGACACAGGUGCUGCACGGCCGUCGACAGCU
rnacentral:rRNA from 1 species